rnacentral:rRNA from 1 species
UACGAAGGGGGGCUAGCGUUGUUCGGAAUUACUGGGCGUAAAGCGCAUGUAGGCGGCGAUUCAAGUCGGGGGUGAAAUCCUGAGGCUCAACCUCAGAACUGCCUUCGAUACUGCAUUGCUAGAGUAUGGGAAGAGGUAGGUGGAACUGCAAGUGUAGAGGUGAAAUUCGUAGAUAUUUGCAAGAACACCAGUGGCGAAGGCGGCCUACUGGUCCAUCACUGACGCUGAGAUGCGAAAGCGUGGGGAGCAAACAGG